CUGGAGGGAAGGGAUACCAUCCAGUGGGACCUCGACAGGCUGCAGAGCUGGGUCUGUGUGGACCUCAUAAAGAUCUGUUACAGAGAGCUGUAGAAUCUGGGAGAGUCAAUCAGCUGCCCUGGGGAGCCACUGAAGCUGCUUCACCAACAGUAGACAAGGACAGAAUGAAUGAACACCUGAAGUGCUCACCUCAGGCUGUGUGUGGAGGGGAGGCGGCUGCAGAGGGUGGUUGGUACCAGGCAGGAUCUGGAAUGCACUCUGGAGCAUCAUUCCCACCCAAAAACCUGCAGAGGGAGCAGAGAAUGACGAGGUCUCUGAUUUAGGCAGGUCAGAGAGAUGCCCGAAGCUGGAGGAAGUGCAAAGUCUGCUUGACUGAGGUCUUCCUUUUCACCUCAAGAAAAAAGAACAAUAUAGCAAUGGAUGAAAUAUGCUCAGAGAAGACAAAUUAAAACUGAACAAUUGGAGUGGAAGAGAAACACAUGUCUAAAGAGAAAAUGCAAUAGAAAUGCUCUCAGAGAAAAUAUUAAACUGAAGUUCUGAAACAUCUAUAUGUUGAUUGAUCCUUGUAGGCCAAGUCAUGGUCCUUUAGCAGGAAUUUCUCAGUUCACUGUCAGAGACCAGGAUUGGGACCCACCACAGUGAUGAUGGAAGAGGAUCAUGGGCAAGUGGGAAUCUCCUGAAGUCUGGGGCGUUAGCUGCCUUAUUCUGAGUUUGUUUCACUUGCAUUUUCAUGCCAAGCAGAUAAUAAAUCUGGCAAGGGAAUACUUUCUAGGAAAAGAUGUUUCUGUAGAAGGGAAUUUUCCAGUUCUGUAAAUGGUGCUAGAAAGUUUGGUGUAGGAAAUUAGAUUUAUAUUUUUGGGACUUUAGGUACUUAAUGUUGCUGUUAGGUAUCCAAUGGUUCUAAAAGGCACUUCCAGCUGUCUGCAGGUCUUCCUGCUGGCUGCUGCAAAUGUGGAAACCCAGAGGAAGUCCUGUCUUAUCAGGA